rnacentral:rRNA from 1 species
GACAGUUACCAUGCCCUUUCGAAAGGAGUCAGGUUUUAAACCUAAUGGCUCUUUCAUGAUUAUAUGAUAGGUGGUGCAUGGCCGUUCUUAGUUCGUGGAGUGAUCUGUCUGCUUAAUUGCGUUUCAAAUUUUUAUUUGAGGACCAGGUUUUGGUUUGGGUAGUGGUCCUACGAUGACUGUGAACUGUCAUGUCUUCGGAUGUGCGACUAUCGGUCUAGGAUCGCAUCUCAGCCCCUGGGACUCUUUUGAACGCAACGGACGUGAUUGCAACCCCUUGUUGAGAUUAGAGGAGUCUCGAUAUUCAUUGGCCAAACUUACCGCUUCGAGCUUGCUCGUGCAGUUUUGUUAGCCGGUGGAUAAACUCGGGGGACUGCUGACUAUAACCAUUUCUCAAAACAGAGGAAGGUUGCGGCAAUAACAGGUCUGUGAUGCCCU